GGAGCGAAGCGACGUCAAAGCGUAUACAAAGUCGAGUCGGUUUAAGGAUACGUUCGUUGGGUAGGGGAGCGUUCUGUAAGCCUGUGAAGGUGGCCUGUGAGGGUUGCUGGAGGUAUCAGAAGUGCGAAUGCUGACAUAAGUAACGAUAAAGCGGGUGAAAAGCCCGCUCGCCGGAAGACCAAGGGUUCCUGUCCAACGUUAAUCGGGGCAGGGUGAGUCGACCCCUAAGGCGAGGCCGAAAGGCGUAGUCGAUGGGAAACGGGUUAAUAUUCCCGUACUUGGUGUUACUGCGAAGGGGGGACGGAGAAGGCUAUGUUGGCCGGGCGACGGUUGUCCCGGUUUAAGCGUGUAGGUGUGUGUUCCAGGUAAAUCCGGUUCACUUUAACACUGAGGCGUGAUGACGAGGCACUACGGUGCUGAAGCAACAAAUGCCCUGCUUCCAGGAAAAGCCUCUAAGCAUCAGGUAACAUCAAAUCGUACCCCAAACCGACACAGGUGGUCAGGUAGAGAAUACCAAGGCGCUUGAGAGAACUCGGGUGAAGGAACUAGGCAAAAUGGUGCCGUAACUUCGGGAGAAGGCACGCUGACACGUAGGUGAAGUGAUUUACUCAUGGAGCUGAAGUCAGUCGAAGAUACCAGCUGGCUGCAACUGUUUAUUAAAAACACAGCACUGUGCAAACACGAAAGUGGACGUAUACGGUGUGACGCCUGCCCGGUGCCGGAAGGUUAAUUGAUGGGGUCAGCGCAAGCGAAGCUCCUGAUCGAAGCCCCGGUAAACGGCGGCCGUAACUAUAACGGUCCUAAGGUAGCGAAAUUCCUUGUCGGGUAAGUUCCGACCUGCACGAAUGGCGUAAUGAUGGCCAGGCUGUCUCCACCCGAGACUCAGUGAAAUUGAACUCGCUGUGAAGAUGCAGUGUACCCGCGGCAAGACGGAAAGACCCCGUGAACCUUUACUAUAGCUUGACACUGAACAUUGAGCCUUGAUGUGUAGGAUAGGUGGGAGGCUUUGAAGUGUGGACGCCAGUCUGCAUGGAGCCGACCUUGAAAUACCACCCUUUAAUGUUU
rnacentral:rRNA from 1 species